CGGAUCGGAGUCUGNAACCCGACUCCGUGAAGCUGGAUUCGCUAGUAAUCGCGCAUCAGCCAUGGCGCGGUGAAUACGUUCCCGGGCCUUGUACACACCGCCCGUCAAGCCAUGGAAGCCGGGGGCGCUUGAAGUGCGUUGCCGCAAGGCGCGCCCUAGAGCGAAACCGGUGACUGGGGCUAAGUCGUAACAAGGUAGC
rnacentral:rRNA from 1 species